rnacentral:tRNA from 1 species
CGGGGCAUAGCUCAGCUUGGCAGAGCACGUAUUUUGGGAAUACGUGGCCGUAGGUUCGAAUCCUGCUGCUCCGACCA